GAUGAACGCUAGCGGCAGGCUUAACACAUGCAAGUCGAGGGGUAGUUGUCUUCGGAUAAUGAGACCGGCGCACGGGUGCGUAACGCUUAUACAAUCUACCUUUUACAGAGGGAUAGCCCAGAGAAAUUUGGAUUAAUACCUCAUAGUAUUUUUGAAUGGCAUCAUUUGAUUAUUAAAGUUCCAACGGUAAAAGAUGAGUAUGCGUCCCAUUAGCUAGAUGGUAAGGUAACGGCUUACCAUGGCGACGAUGGGUAGGGGUCCUGAGAGGGAGAGCCCCCACACUGGUACUGAGACACGGACCAGACU
rnacentral:rRNA from 1 species